rnacentral:rRNA from 1 species
CCUACGGGCGGCAGCAGUGGGGAAUAUUGGACAAUGGGGGGAACCCUGAUCCAGCCAUGCCGCGUGUGUGAAGAAGGCCCUCGGGUUGUAAAGCACUUUCAGUGAGGAAGAACGCCUGGUGGUUAAUACCCAUCAGGAAAGACAUCACUCACAGAAGAAGCACCGGCUAACUCCGUGCCAGCAGCCGCGGUAAUACGGAGGGUGCGAGCGUUAAUCGGAAUUACUGGGCGUAAAGCGCGCGUAGGUGGCUUGAUAAGCCGGUUGUGAAAGCCCCGGGCUCAACCUGGGAACGGCAUCCGGAACUGUCAAGCUAGAGUGAAGGAGAGGAAGGUAGAAUUCCCGGUGUAGCGGUGAAAGGCGUAGAGAUCGGGAGGAAUACCAGUGGCGAAGGCGGCCUUCUGGACUGACACUGACACUGAGGUGCGAAAGCGUGGGUAGCAAACAGGAUUAGAUACCCUAGUAGUC